CAGGCUUAACACAUGCAAGUCGACGUGCAGCAUUUUAGUUUGCUUGCAAACUGAAGAUGGCGACCGGCGCACGGGUGAGUAACACGUAUCCAACCUGCCGAUAACUCCGGGAUAGCCUUUCGAAAGAAAGAUUAAUACCGGAUAGCAUACGAAUAUCGCAUGAUAUUUUUAUUAAAGAAUUUCGGUUAUCGAUGGGGAUGCGUUCCAUUAGUUUGUUGGCGGGGUAACGGCCCACCAAGACUACGAUGGAUAGGGGUUCUGAGAGGAAGGUCCCCCACAUUGGAACUGAGACACGGUCCAAACUCCUACGGGAGGCAGCAGUGAGGAAUAUUGGUCAAUGGGCGCGAGCCUGAACCAGCCAAGUAGCGUGAAGGAUGAAGGCUCUAUGGGUCGUAAACUUCUUUUAUAUGGGAAUAAAGUUUUCCACGUGUGGAAUUUUGUAUGUACCAUAUGAAUAAGGAUCGGCUAACUCCGUGCCAGCAGCCGCGGUAAUACGGAGGAUCCGAGCGUUAUCCGGAUUUAUUGGGUUUAAAGGGAGCGUAGGUGGAUUGUUAAGUCAGUUGUGAAAGUUUGCGGCUCAACCGUAAAAUUGCAGUUGAAACUGGCAGUCUUGAGUACAGUAGAGGUGGGCGGAAUUCGUGGUGUAGCGGUGAAAUGCUUAGAUAUCACGAAGAACUCCGAUUGCGAAGGCAGCUCACUAGACUGUCACUGACACUGAUGCUCGAAAGUGUGGGUAUCAAACAGGAUUAGAUACCCUGGUAGUCCACACAGUAAACGAUGAAUACUCGCUGUUUGCGAUAUACAGUAAGCGGCCAAGCGAAAGCAUUAAGUAUUCCACCUGGGGAGUACGCCGGCAACGGUGAAACUCAAAGGAAUUGACGGGGGCCCGCACAAGCGGAGGAACAUGUGGUUUAAUUCGAUGAUACGCGAGGAACCUUACCCGGGCUUAAAUUGCAACAGAAUAUAUUGGAAACAGUAUAGCCGUAAGGCUGUUGUGAAGGUGCUGCAUGGUUGUCGUCAGCUCGUGCCGUGAGGUGUCGGCUUAAGUGCCAUAACGAGCGCAACCCUUAUCUUUAGUUACUAACAGGUUAUGCUGAGGACUCUAGAGAGACUGCCGUCGUAAGAUGUGAGGAAGGUGGGGAUGACGUCAAAUCAGCACGGCCCUUACGUCCGGGGCUACACACGUGUUACAAUGGGGGGUACAGAAGGCGGCUACCUGGUGACAGGAUGCUAAUCCCAAAAACCUCUCUCAGUUCGGAUCGAAGUCUGCAACCCGACUUCGUGAAGCUGGAUUCGCUAGUAAUCGCGCAUCAGCCAUGGCGCGGUGAAUACGUUCCCGGGCCUUGUACACACCGCCCGUCAAGCCAUGAAAGCCGGGGGUACCUGAAGUACGUAACCGCAAGGAGCGUCCUAGGGUAAAACUGGUAAUUG
rnacentral:rRNA from 1 species